rnacentral:rRNA from 1 species
AGCUCCAUUAGCGUAUAUUAAAGUUGUUGCAGUUAAAAAGCUCGUAGUUGGAUUUCGGUGCGAGUCGCGUCGGUCGGUCGCAAGACUUGUUUACUGACCGGCUUGUUCUUUCUCUCCAAGACCUCGUGUUUCCUUUACUGGAUGUGCGUGCGAAUUGGAGGCGUUUACUUUGAAAAAAUUAGAGUGUUCAAGGCAGGCUUGCAAAGGCUUGAAUACAUGAGCAUGGAAUAAUGGAAUAGGACUUCGGUCACUAUUUCGUUGGUUCUAUUGACCGAAGUAAUGAUUAAGAGGGACAGUUGGGGGCAUCCGUAUUUCGUAGUCAGAGGUGAAAUUCUUGGAUCUACGAAAGACGAACUAGUGCGAAAGCAUUUGCCAAGAGUGUUUUCA